rnacentral:rRNA from 1 species
GAUGAACGCUGGCGGCGUGCUUAACACAUGCAAGUCGAACGGAAAGGCUCCUGCUUGCAGGGGUACUCGAGUGGCGAACGGGUGAGUAACACGUGGGUGAUCUGCCCUGCACUUCGGGAUAAGCCUGGGAAACUGGGUCUAAUACCGUACAGGACGAUGGUUUGGAUGCCAUUGUGGAAAGUUUUUUCGGUGUGGGAUGAGCGCGCGGCCUAUCAGCUUGUUGGUGGGGUAAUGGCCUACCAAGGCGUCGACGGAUAGCCGGCCUGGGAGCGUGUACAGCCACAAUGGGACUGAGAUACGGCCCAGAGUCCUACGGGAGGCAGAAGUGGGGAGUAUUGCACAAUGGGCGCAAGCCUGAUGAAGCGACGCCGGGUGGGGGAUGACGGCCUUCGGGUUGUAAACUCCUUUCGCUAGAGACGAAGCGCAAGUGACGGUACCUGGAGAAGAAGCACCGGCUAACUACGUG